rnacentral:sRNA from 1 species
AAAACAAGAGUGUUCAUUUAGUUGCAUUACAUUUAGGAUCGAGUCUAGAGUGUUUCAUUUAGGAUUGUUGCAUAUGCAUAGGGGAUAAUGAUGAGAUAGCCUUGUAAGCAUUUUGGUUCACCGGCUAACUCAGUGCCCUCGUUGCUAGUUGUCUGUUGCGUAGUCAAUGAAUUUGAAAUAAAACUGAACCAUGCCUAGAUUGCUCUACUCGACCACACUGUCAUGAUCUGAUACCAUUCCCUAUCAAUUUGAACCUGAAUCUGAUCUCUAAUUAUCAUGUCUGCAUCAAAUUUGAACUCAUGGAUACCCUAAAAUACUUGGAUUUUCUUAUUCAUUUUGAUCUCUCUUGUUAAUCCAAGUAGCUGACUCUCCUUAUUAGAGCAGUUAACCCAAACCCAAACCUAGACUUUCUUUCAAGCCCUAUAUCACUUGUGAGUGUUUGUGAGGUUUUAUUCCGAUUAAGCCUGGUAGAAAGUGUUAGGUUCGUAACGACAGAGAUAGUGUCUCAUGUAGUUCUAGUUCGCAUUUUUUGGACUAGAUAGGAUUAGGUGGGCGCUUAUACUUUCGGUUGGGAUGUGUUUAAAAGAAAAAC